rnacentral:rRNA from 1 species
UACGUAGGGGGCAAGCGUUAUCCGGAUUUACUGGGUGUAAAGGGAGCGUAGACGGCCUUGCAAGUCUGGUGUGAAAGCCCGGGGCUCAACCCCGGGACUGCAUUGGAAACUGCAUGGCUGGAGUGCAGGAGAGGUAAGCGGAAUUCCUAGUGUAGCGGUGAAAUGCGUAGAUAUUAGGAGGAACACCAGUGGCGAAGGCGGCCUACUGGACGGUGACUGACGCUGAGGCUCGAAAGCGUGGGGAGCAAACAGG